GACGAACGCUGGCGGCGUGCCUAAUACAUGCAAGUCGAGCGAAGUUUUUCUGGUGCUUGCACUAGAAAAACUUAGCGGCGAACGGGUGAGUAACACGUAAAGAACCUGCCUCAUAGACUGGGACAACUAUUGGAAACGAUAGCUAAUACCGGAUAACAGUAUUUCUCGCAUGAGAGAUAUUUAAAAGUUGGUUAUGCUAACACUAUGAGAUGGCUUUGCGGUGCAUUAGCUAGUUGGUGGGGUAAAGGCCCACCAAGGCGACGAUGCAUAGCCGACCUGAGAGGGUGAUCGGCCACACUGGGACUGAGACACGGCCCAGACUCCUACGGGAGGCAGCAGUAGGGAAUCUUCCGCAAUGGGCGAAAGCCUGACGGAGCAACGCCGCGUGAGUGAAGAAGGAUUUCGGUUCGUAAAGCUCUGUUGUUAGGGAAGAAUGGAUAUGUAGUAACUAUACAUGUAAGAGACGGUACCUAACCAGAAAGCCACGGCAAACUACGUG
rnacentral:rRNA from 1 species